rnacentral:tRNA from 1 species
GGGCUCGUAGCUCAGCUUGGACAGAGCGGCAGCCUUCUAAGCUGUAGGUCGGGGGUUCAAAGGCCCAGAGUUUAACUCGCAAACUGAAAAUCCCCCCGGGCCCG